rnacentral:lncRNA from 1 species
AAAGUGUUUGUUUUUUUUUAAAUCCAAGCUAUUGUGACACCAGAUCUAAGUGGUGGCACUGGUCACCAUAUCCACUGUUAGCGUAACACACCCGCUUUAAGGACACUGACUGCUAUUCAAUAUAUAACAGUGAAAAAAGUGGUUGUUUUUUUUUUAAAUACAAGCUUUGUGUCACCAGAUCUAUGUGGUGGCAAUGGUCACCGUAUCCACUGUUAGCGUAACACACCCGCUUUAAG